rnacentral:rRNA from 1 species
UGUUAGCGGCGGAGGGUGAGUAACACGUGGGUAACCUGCCGGUAAGACUGGGAUAACUCCGGGAAACCGGGGCUAAUACCGGAGGGUUGUUUGAACCGCAGGGUUCAAACAUAAAAGGUGGCUUCGGCUACCACUUACAGAUGGACCCGCGGCGCAUUAGCUAGUUGGUGAGGUAACGGCUCACCAAGGCAACGAUGCGUAGCCAACCUGAGAGGGUGAUCGGCCACACUGGGACUGAGACACGGCCCAGACUCCUACGGGAGGCAGCAUUAGGGAAUCUUCCGCAAUGGACGAAAGUCUGACGGAGCAACGCCGCGUGAGUGAUGAAGGUUUUCGGAUCGUAAAGCUCUGUUGUUAGGGAAGAACAAGUACCGUUCAAAUAGGGCGGUACCUUGACGGUACCUAACCAGAAAGCCACGGCUAACUACGUGCCAGCAGCCGCGGUAAUACGUAGGUGGCAAGCGUUGUCCGGAAUUAUUGGGCGUAAAGGGCUCGCAGCGGUUUCUUAAGUCUGAUGUGAAAGCCCCCGGCUCAACCGGGGAGGGUCAUUGGAAACUGGGGAACUUGAGUGCAGAAGAGGAGAGUGGAAUUCCACGUGUAGCGGUGAAAUGCGUAGAGAUGU